rnacentral:tRNA from 1 species
GUGAAUGUGGCUCAGUGGUAGAGUGCUUGCCUAGCAUGCAGGAAACCCUGGGUUCAAUUCCUCAGCACCAUA